ensembl:lncRNA
UCACUUAUGGGGCACCUGAAGGCACUUAUGGGGCAGGCCGUACUUAUGGGUCGCACUCACCCCUCCUCAUCCGACUCCCUCCCAUCCUCUUCAUCACUGAACUUCAGCUUCUCGCUGUAAUCCACCUCCUCGUGGGCUCCUGUGGGGCACAGCCGGCUGCUAUGGGGCAGCUAUGGGGCAAGGCUAUGGGGCAGCUAUGGGGCAGUUAUGGGGCAGGGCUAUGGGGCAGCUAUGGGGUCGCUAUGAGACAGUUAUGGGGCAGGGCUAUGGGGCUGCUAUGGGGCAGUUAUGGGGCUGCUAUGGGGCAGCUAUGGGGCAGGACUAUGGGGCAGUUAUGGGGCAGCUAUGGGGCAGGGCUAUGGGGCAGCUAUGGGGUCGCUAUGGGGCAGUUAUAGGGCAGCUAUGGGGUGGCUAUGUGUCGCUAUGGGGCAGUUGGUUAUGGGUCGCUAUGGGGCAGCUAUGGGGUGGUUCUGGGGUGGUUCUGGGUCGCUAUGGGUCGCUAUGGGGCAGUAAUGGGGUGGUUAUGGGGCGGUUAUGGGGUGGCUAUGGGUCGCUAUGGGUCGCUAUGGGGCAGCUAUGGGGUGGUUAUGGGGCGGUUAUGGGUCGCUAUUGGGCAGCUAUGGGGUGGUUAUGGGGUGGUUCUGUGUUGCUAUGGGUCGCUAUGGGGCAGUAAUGGGGUGGUUCCGGGUUGCUAUGGGUCGCUAUGGGGCAGUAAUGGGGUGGUUAUGGGGCGGUUACGGGGCAGUUAUGGGUCGCUAUGGGUCGUUAUGGGGCGGCUAUGGGUCGCUAUGGGGCAGUGAUGAGUUACUAUAAGUUGCUAUAGCUCACUAUGGGUCUCUGGGGUGGCUAUGGGUCGCUAUGGGGCAGUAAUGGGGUGGCUAUGGGUCGCUAUGGGGCAGUAAUGGGGUGGUUAUGGGGUGGCUAUGGGUCGCUAUGGGGCAGUUAUGGGUCGCUAUGGGGCAGUGAUGAGUUACUACAAGUUGCUAUAGCUCACUAUGGGUCUCUAUGGGGCGGCUAUGGGUCGCUAUGGGUUGCUAUGGGUCGCUAUGGGUCGCUAUGGGGCGGCUAUGGGUCGCUAUGGGUCGCUAUGGGUCGCUAUGGGGCGGUUAUGGGGUGGCUAUGGGUCGCUAUGGGUCGCUAUGGGGCGCUAUGGGUCGCUAUGGGUCGCUAUGGGGCGGUUAUGGGGUGGUUCUGGGUCGCAAUGUGUCGCUAUGGGGCAGUUAUGGGUCGCUAUGGGUCGCUAUGGGGUGGUUCUGGGUCGCUAUGGGUCGCUAUGGGGCGGCUAUGGGUCGCUAUGGGGCAGCUAUGGGGCGGCUAUGGGUCGCUGUGGGUCGCUAUGGGGCAGUAAUGGGGUGGUUAUGGGGCGGUUAUGGGGUGGCUAUGGGUCGCUAUGGGGCGGCUAUGGGUCGGCUAUGGGUCGCUGUGGGAUCGCUAUGGCGCAGCCGCCCACACUGCCCAUCACCGUCCGUCAUUGUCGGUGGUCCAGCUCAUCGAACUCCUUGAGCUCGUCGUGUUUCAGCACCGGGGGGCGCCCACCAACUCCCCCCCCCGCAAUGGGGGGCCACGAGGACGCUGCAGCCUGGGGGGGAACAAGGGGGUCAGCACGGCCGCGCCCCAUAGAAUCUGACCCAUAGAUCUGACGCAUAGCAUCUGCCGCCUAGAUCUGUCCCCCCCCCCCCCCCCCCCCCACCAUAGCUCUGGGCCGCCAUACCAGCUCUGGCCCCACUACCUUCACCCACCAUAGCUCUGCCAUUAUGCCUUGCCCUCACCAAGCCUUCCUAUAGCC